rfam:Candidatus Kaiserbacteria bacterium RIFCSPLOWO2_01_FTLL_54_24 rifcsplowo2_01_scaffold_102201, whole genome shotgun sequence.
AUAAAUGUAUCUUGGCAUGCGCCAACUGUCAUCGAGAGAUCGAAUCCGGCAUAACGCAGCUUCCUGGAGCGAUCCAGGUCGAAAAACGAGGCGAAUUGCGGGAAGCCUAAAUCGCAAGACAAGGUAAUCCGCAGCCAAGUCCCAUAUCCUGGGAAAGGUUCAGAGACUAUCCCGAAAGGGAGUACUCCGAUAACCCGGAGGAAGCACCUCGCAUCCGCGAAGCGGAUGAUGAUAUAGUCCACUCCUUUUGGAAACAAAGGG